UUACCGAGUUUUCGGGCUUGGCUCGACUCUCCCACCCUUUGUGAACGUACCUCUGUUGCUUUGGCGGCUCCGGCCGCCAAAGGACCUCCAAACUCCAGUCAGUAAACGCAGACGUCUGAUAAACAAGUUAAUAAACUAAAACUUUCAACAACGGAUCUCUUGGUUCUGGCAUCGAUGAAGAACGCAGCGAAAUGCGAUAAGUAAUGUGAAUUGCAGAAUUCAGUGAAUCAUCGAAUCUUUGAACGCACAUUGCGCCCCUUGGUAUUCCGGGGGGCAUGCCUGUUCGAGCGUCAUUACAACCCUCAAGCUCUGCUUGGAAUUGGGCACCGUCCUCACUGCGGACGCGCCUCAAAGACCUCGGCGGUGGCUGUUCAGCCCUCAAGCGUAGUAGAAUACACCUCGCUUUGGAGUGGUUGGCGUCGCCCGCCGGACGAACCUUCUGAACUUUUCUCAAGGUUGACCUCGGAUCAGGUAGGGAUACCC
rnacentral:rRNA from 1 species